AUGAAGCCCAAAAAAUUCAAUUUUUGGCAAGGCAGAAGCUUUCAAAAAAACACUGGUGAUGGACUUAGAAGGAUUUCGGUUCAGCCUUAUCCAAUCCAACAAUCAAUUCUUCAUGUUCAGAAUUCUAAAACGGUAUCAUAUUGCAUAUAUUUAGGGUUCAAAAUCAAAUGGUUGUUCAGCUUCUCUGGGAACUCGACUCUCUUCCUCUUUUAUAUGAAAUGCGAUACCUGCCAUCUCUAA